AUUUAUUUACAAGCCCAUGUUCUAUGUGCUGUAGCAGAAAAUAAAGCUCAAGUUAUGUAAAGCUGUCGUCUUAGACUCUUGGCGAUCUCUGUCGCACCUGCUUUGGUAAACAAAUCGUUACGACCUUUACACAUCUUCAGCCCUCUACAAUUAAGGAGAAAUUAAUUGAAGAAUACUGAACGUUCUAGAUUCCCCUGGUUCAACAUUCUCUGAAAGCAGAAGUUAAGAUCUCCUUGCGCGGGGGAGGUUGCAGCGCGGCGGUCUUGCCUUUCUGUCUAUGCUGAUGAAAUGGAAAACUCUUCGAUGUGUUGUUCCAAGCUCCCCAACGCCUAUGGUGAAAAUGCAGACUUCAAAAACACCCAGAGUACAUCCCUAGAAAGGCUGAUCAAAAAGGCUGAUGGAUUUGCAGAAGUCUUUCCAGAGCAUAAGUACGAGAAUGUUAGUAGGCUGCAACAAAGGAACCAUAUGUGGUAUGACAAGAGAUGGUGUGAAUGAUACCCCAGCUCUCAAAAAGGCGGAUAUUUGGUAUAGCUGUUGCUGGUCCUAAUGAUGCUGCAAGAGGCGUUUUUGAUAUUGUUCUCACAGAACCUGGACUGAGCGUUAUCAUCAGUGCAGUUCUUACCAGUAGAGCCAAAACUUUCAUAAAGUUUUACACAGAGACACUAAUUCAAAUCUUGACAUCGUCUUUCUGUGUCGAUUUAUGCGGUUUCAAACACGAUACAUAUUGUGUUUGGCUUCAUGUUCAUUGCUCUCCUAUGGGAGUUUGAUUUCACGCCUUUCAUAGCAAUCUUAAACAAUGGAGCAAUCAUGACAAUAUCAAAGGACAACGUGAAGCCAUCUCCACAGCCAGAUAGCUGGAAACUCAUAGAAAUAUUCUCGACCGGAGUCAUGUUUAGAGGCUACCAGGCCUUGAUGACAGUAGUUUUCUUCUGGGCGAUGAUAGACACUGAUAUUUUCUCGAACAUGUUUGGUGUGAGACCAUUGAGUCAAAGUCCUGAACAAAUCAUGGCUGCUCUGUAUCUACAAGUUAGCAUCUCAGGUCAGGCUCUCAUCUUCGUCACCAGGUCCCGUAGCUGGUCCUACGUCGAAUCCCCUGGUCUUCUCUUACUUGGUGCAUUUUUCAUAGCUCAAUUGGUGGCGACAUUGAUAGCUGUUUACGCGAACUGGAGUUUUGCGCGUAUAGAAGGAGCCGAUUGGGGAUGGGCUGGAGUGAUAUGGCUAUACAGUCUCGCAAUGUACAUCCCUCUCGACUUGCUCAAGUUUUUGAUUCGCUACGUUUUGAGUGGAAAAGCGUGGUUAAAAUUUCUUGAAAACAAGGUAUCCAAUCAACAUUAAUCAUAUUCCAGGCAAUAUUAGCUUUGUUCAGACAGCGAAGCCAAAGAACCUUGCCAUUGCUUAUAACUUCGCCAGAAGAUUCUUUGGCACUAACCCAAAUCUAGAGAGCUAGGCCAAGAUGGCUACAGCGACACAAGUUGUGCAAGCCGCUAAACGCAACAUGACUGAUGAAACCAAGCUUAACUGCGACUUAAGACGGAACUGACGUAGUCAUUGGCGUAGACGGAACUGGUCUGCUCGCUCUGCUCUACGUUUCAAGUCCGGUGAUUAAUUCAGAUCGGUAACUUUGAGAGUAUGUGGUUUUCUACCUCUGUGGAUGAGGUCAAGUAAAAGUGACUUUAAACAUAGAAAAAAAUUGAUUUGUCAGAGUUAUAUACAUAUUCCGCAAUUUGUAAAUUGUGAAUGAUGUAGCUAGGACUAUAAUCUACCACCUUAACUAGAACUAUUAACUCUAUUAAUCUAUUAUAUAUUUUGAAAAUAAAAACAGUUUUGAAAUGAAUUCA